GGUGCAGCCCCUGACCUCUUCUUUAGCCAGCAGUCCUUGGAUGAGUCCUUCACCAACACCUGAGCAGUAGACCGAAAAAUAUAUUCAAGCAGACCAUUGUCAGGAUGUCUCUGAAAUCUAACUCAGGAGCUGACCUCAAUGACCCAGUGGUUAAGGAACAGAUGUUGGAGCAGAUCAGAAAGGAGUUUGCGAAGAACGGGAACAUCAUCCUAGGCAUACGCUGG